AUUGAUUGAUGAAAGAGCACAAGUAUGCAUAAUUCAUUUCAUAUAGAGUAGGUAGGAGAGGGAAUUAGUUGGGUUGGCAAAGCUUGUAAGAUUUGCAUUCCCAAACGCCAACGAGCGGAACAUAAACUUCACAUUCAUAAUAUUGAGCUAUCCAUACGCCAUUGAUUAAGGCCUCCACUUCCAUCUUAAAGUAAUAGAGACAUU